AGAAUCCGAUGGGACCACCAUUGUAUAUGUGGUCUGCCAUUGGCUGAAGCAUCAUUAUUUGGUGCAUGACUGUAGAACUUUAAGCAAUGAUGAAAAUGCUCUAUAUCCACACUAUCCAAUAUGGUUCUGCUUGAAUUCUUGCCCUGGCUCUUGGUGAAGGAUCGGCCUGCUGGAUCUGAGUCAUCCACCUAUAAGAGGGACAACACCACACAUUGGUCGCUGCUCUCAAGCCCCUGGAAUACCACCCCACUUGGCUUCUCCUGAUACCACCCACAUAAACAAAAACUUUUUGGGAGUCCUCCAGAAUUUUUAAGAGUUAUCUAAACUAUUGCCUUUAAUGACCAGGAACUCCAAUUUGAGAAGUUACCCUACGUUAAGCCAACAGCAGCCUGGCUCCUUCAUCCUGUGCAGUAUGGGACAGAGCUGGGUCCUUGUUGUCAUCAGCCAGACAAGCACACAUUAAAGCCCACCUUAGCCAUUGGCAUUACAGCUUUAAAAGCAGCUCCAUCCUACCAUGCUGUCACUCUACUCAAUCACGUGAUCUUAACGACCAGCUCUACAUAUCCUCUCUCCAUGCCCCCACCACCAUCCCCCACCAACAAAUCCGGUAAUCUAUCUCUGUCAAUAGUCCUGCAGUGAAUUCCGAAUAAGUUUUUCUCUUCCCUGGCCUGCCGUUUACGUAGUACCCUGGAUGAAUCUAUACUUACUCCAUAGUAAGUAGUACCUUGGAUGAAUCUAUACUUGCAUCCAAUGGAAAUGAGAGUGAUGGUGCAGAGUUAUCCGAAGUAACUCCAGCUAUGUUGUGGAUCUUCUAAUCAUGGGCUCAUCUAAGCCUUCCCAGAUAUCACUCUAGUUUUUACAAUCUUUGUUUAUGACAAUUAGGGCUGUAACAUUGGCUGUAGACAUUUGUUGCAUCAAGGAACUCAGCUUCCACUGAAGUUCUGAAGUUAAUCAGUUUCUGAUCUUGUUCUGCAACUCUCUGCAAGAAGAAAAAUCACCAGGAAAUAGUGCAUCCUGAAAGGAGUCAAAGUUUCCUUAUCCAGCUGGAGCAGUGUGAUCUCGGACCAGAGUCAAUUCCUUGCCCAACAGACUUCACAUUGAGCCAUGAGAAGCAGCCUACUUACCCUUACCUGGACACUUCUCCAAAACCUGUGAAAUGGCCUCUGUCACUGCCUCAAAGCCUCAUCCUUGGUGGGCAACUCACCUGGAUCCUGAGACCAAAAUAUAGAGCUUAAUGAACUGCU
rnacentral:lncRNA from 1 species